UAGCUCAGUCGGUAGAGUGCUUGCUUUACAUGCACAGAGCCCUGGGUUCAAUCCCCAG
rnacentral:tRNA from 1 species